AUGUCAGGUCACUAUGUGGAUAGUUAUAUGUUCUUCCCCAAAGUUAAGUAAGUCUCUGAAUUGGCCUCUUCAAGCUGCACCCCACCACCUCUAUUUUGUAGGGUUACACCAAACAUGGCACAUGCCUCUUGUGUGCAAGUACCAUUGCCACUAUAUAAGCUUGGUUCGAGGGUCAUGCAAACUAACAAGGCCUCCAAGUUAGUGCACAUAAUGACAAUUGUUGCAAAGGGCUUCUACUCAUCUAAGUAGGAUAAUCACAUAGCAAAAUGCACUAAAGGCAUGGUCUAGCAUUAUUGAAACCCUCAAUCUUAUUCUAGUUGCCCUAAUCUUCAGUAUCAAGUACUUAGGUUCUCAAGUAUGGGAAACACUAAUGCAAUAUAUGUAUACUAUUGCCAUGUUUUACAAGUAUUGCAAUAUUUUGUAUACAUUCCCGUUAUGAAGAGAGAGGAUAAAAAAUUAUUAGAAAAAUAUACAAAAAAAGCAGAUCUAGUGUAGUUGUAAUUGAUUGUUUGUCUAGGCAGGUCCUAGGUUUGAUUCCACAAGCAAUAAUUUUUUGUAGUUUUGGUUUCUAAUUUUUUUUACUACAAUAAUAUAUUGUUGCUAAAAUAGUUUGUCAGAAUCAUUAACAAUGGGUAUAUAUACUUUUAUUUCCACGACCAUAUUUUAUUUAAUUAUUGAAAAUUGUUGUGGUAUUAACAUCUAUUGCAAGAAAAUAAAAAAUGUGAGGAAAACUUUAGAGGAUGCUACUAUUGCAAUCAAUGGCAACAUAUUUAACAUUUUUGCAAUUUGUAUAUAUUGCCGUGGUUUUGACCAUAUUUCAAAGUUAUUUUACCAUGGCAAAAAGCCCAAUUUUAAUGUAGUGGGUAUCCACCACACAUCCUUGGACUUGUGCAAUUUUCAGUCCGCCUAAAAAUUUCUAUGUAGUUGGAUUGUUGCAUAGCAGAUUUUUUAUUAAGUGACAAGCCAGAUUCAAAAUAAAGAUAGUUAUAAUUUAUUAACCAUGUAUCAUUAUUGCUUGAAGGUUGCGGAUGCAUUUGUAAUUCAAUCUCUAAUUACAAACCGAUUUGCAUAAAUGGAUAUAUUUCACUGUUAGUCCAAUACAACAACUGAUUGUGUCAAUGGCAUCAUCAUAGUUAGAUGUAUCCAACAACCAACAUUUAUAAUCACUUAUUUCCAUAGUUGAUUCUAGCCUAACAACUAAUGAAAUUCCCAACUGUACUUUGAAAAUUCAUAAAUUUUUUAUAUAAAUUCAAAUGGACACAAAAUCUAUAAAAUUCUAUCUCUUUUUGAGACCUACAAAUUUAUAGUUGAUAACUUAUUUUAUACGAAGUCAUCAUAAUGCCUAAAUCUAGUUCAAGAACCAAUGUUUCAUUUGUAACUUUUCGAGAUCAACUUAUUCUUUCAUGCUCCACUCAUAGUAAAACUUAAUACUCCUAUAUUAUAUCACUACCGGAUUCAGGGGCUUUGCCGAGUGUCUGGGACACUCGGCAAAGCCCGAAUUACACUCGGCAAAGGCUUUGCCGAGUGUAACACUCGGCAAAGAGCACUCGGCAAAAAUAUUAUCGGCAAAGAUGUCUUUGCCGAGUGCCUUUUGUCGUCCAGUAAAACAGAAGAAUUAUAAAUUUCUAAAAUGAUAGAUAGGAAUAUCGCAAAUAAAGCCAUUGCGACCCCCAUAAAAGGAGUAGUCCCACAAAAGGCACUCGGCAAAGGCUUUGCCGAGUGCUAAAAAACACUCGGCAAACAGAAGCACUCGGCAAAAUGUAAAUCGGAAAAAAUUCAAAAAAUGAAUUAGGAAAAAAUAAAUUUUAUUAGGGGAGGCAUGCACAGCCAACUAAUGACCCAUCUAAUAGGUCGCAUAUUUUUUUUCAGCAAUUUUUGAUAAGUUGUCAAUGAUAGGAUUCGAACUCACGACCUCCUGCACACAAACAACUCCCUCUACCACUGCACCAUUGAACCACAUGUGUCAACAUUACGUUUUUAUUCUCCAUAUAUUAUAAUUGACCGAGUGUAAAUUGUUUGUUUGAGAUAGUAACUAAAUUCAAAUGAAAAAGUUGUUAACUACAAAGUGGCAUAACUUUUCGAGAUCUACAACUUUUAUUU
rnacentral:lncRNA from 1 species